GACGAACGCUGGCGGCGUGCUUAACACAUGCAAGUCGAACGGAAAGGCCCUGCUUUUGUUGGGUGCUCGAGUGGCGAACGGGUGAGUAACACGUGAGUAACCUGCCCUUGACUUUGGGAUAACUUCAGGAAACUAGGGCUAAUACCGGAUAGGAGCUCCUGCUGCAUGGUGGGGGUUGGAAAGUUUCGGCGGUUGGGGAUGGACUCGCGGCUUAUCAGCUUGUUGGUGGGGUGGUGUCUUACCAAGCCGUUGACGCGUGGCCGGCCUGAGCGGGUGACCGGCCAGAUUGGGACUGGGAUACGGCACAGACUACUCUGCGAGGCAGCAGUGCAGAAGAGUGCACAAUGGGCUGAGGCAUGCUGCAGUGAAGCCGCGCGCGGGAGAACGGGAAGGUGGUUGGAUUCCGCUUUCGCGUUUGACGAAGCGUGAGUGACGGUAAUGGGUAAAGAAGCACCGGCUAACUACGUG
rnacentral:rRNA from 1 species